rnacentral:lncRNA from 1 species
UAUAUCCAAUGUGCACGACAUGCGUUGCUUACAUAUAUAUAUUUCAAAGGAAAUUCUUCAGAAAAAAAUGUUUGUAUAGCAAAGUAUAUUUUUUAUAGACUAUGCGGUACGAGCUUUGCUUACUGUUGAAGGCCGUACUGUGAUCUAUAGUUGUUAGUUUCUGUGCCAUUUGGUUUAAUGUGGAAAGUUUGUCUCGUUGACAAUCAUGCCACAUUUUUUAUUAUAUCAAAGGUAAAGGACAGUCAAAUCAAUUGAUAUUUUAAAGAUGUUGCAGAAAAAAAGCAGCUUUACAAUAAAUAAUACCAUUCUGUUUUUCAGGUUAUGGGAAAGGAAAGCGGGUG